rnacentral:rRNA from 1 species
GAUGAACGCUGACAGAAUGCUUAACACAUGCAAGUCUACUUGAAUUUGGGUUUUUUAACUUAGAUUUGGGUGGCGGACGGGUGAGUAACGCGUAAAGAACUUGCCUCACAGUUAGGGACAACAUUUGGAAACGAAUGCUAAUACCUGAUAUUAUGAAUAUAUGGCAUCAUAUAGUUAUGAAAGCUAUAAGCGCUGUGAGAGAGCUUUGCGUCCCAUUAGCUAGUUGGAGAGGUAACGGCUCACCAAGGCGAUGAUGGGUAGCCGGCCUGAGAGGGUGAACGGCCACAAGGGGACUGAGACACGGCCCUUACUCUUACGGGAGGCAGCGGUGGGGAAUAUUGGACACUGGACCAAGAGUCUUAUCCAGCAAUUCUGUGUGCACGAUGAACUUUUUCGGAAUGUAAAGCGCUUUCAGUUGGGAAGAAAAAAAUGACGGUACCAACAGAAGAAGUGACGGCUAAAUACGUG